GAGAGUGAGUGAGUGAGAAAGGGAGAGGUGUGUAUAAAUAAAAAAGACAAUGAGAAGGAGAAAGAGAAAGCUAAGACAAAGUACACUCUUGAAAAACUUAGCUAGACGAAAGCAACGUCGUUGGCACAGAAAAGCACACUGUUGAGAUUUCCGUAUAUUCGAAGAGAUGUCAGAAAUCGCGCCUCCUUCCGGUAUAACACGUACACGUUGUACACGAGAUCAGCACAAGCAACCGUGAGUCUUACGUCUUUCUAAAUUCCUAUAUUGUUCAUCGAUCGAGAAACCUGAGCAGUUUGGUUAGGAUCGCGUGCACACGAUGCGUCCAGUGCGUCCGGUACUUUCGAAGCAUUCGGAACGUAAGUGGAAAUGGCGUUGUAAUAUUGAAGAAAAAGAUGUGACCGAGAACAAGGAUAAGGACGAGGAUAAGGAGGGGAUCAAAGUUUGUUAUAAAGAAUGGAGAAAACAAGAGGGAAAGAUGCUCUCGAGCGUCUUUUAAGGACGCAAGAUACUCGCGAGCUCAAUCCUCGCGAUUUCUAGCGUUUUGAGGUUAAGGACGAACGCGUGUCGCGUCGGCGAGUCCAGUACAGAGACGAGAAAACGCGACGAAAUUUAAUUCUCGAGUUGCGAGAGAUCUCUGCUUAUCACGGAUCGCAGAUAGGGUCACGAUAACGGAGAGUACUAUGUUGAGUUCACACUUGUGUUGCAUCGACUCGGUAAGGCUUUGGUCACGCGCAACGGCACAGACCCGUGCAGCAACGCCGUCCGUAACUGCCGUCUCGUUUACGGCCAGCGAGAAGGAUGCACCCCUGAUGCGGUACCGAGAAGGAACCACCGCCGCUGCUGAUGCUGUUGCUGUUUCUGAUGCUGUUGCUGCUCCCGUCGUACAGCGCCGUCAACCCGGAUAACAUCCUCCAGGACUCUCUCGAAUCGAGAACGGGUGGAUUCCCGCAGGAUCUACCAACCACCGCUACCACUCGAGAUCUUUCUACGGUUAUCAUAUUAGCGUGCACCCACGUCUUCCUCCAGCUCCUUCGACGCCUCCACCUUUGACUUCCUCCUUUCCACUUCCUAGCUGGUUCACGUCACGCUUCGUCACGAGAGAGCCGCACUCCGUGUCACCCUUGCACUACGCGACACGCGCAUUUCCCGGGACGCGCUUACGCUGAACCACGUCGACGGAGAUUAUGACAAUAAUCGCUAUUAGCACAACACCGGCGACAGCGACGACGACGACGUUCUCGUGAAAUCAGACGACGGGAACAACGAGGAUUAUUACCACGACAGUGUAACCAAAACGCGGACGACGGUGAUGUUGCGGAAUCUGUGCCAGUUAACUCUCGUUUCUCCGGUACUUCUUUUUAUAUUAUUCUUGAUUCACUACGAGUUCACCUCCUCGAUGAAAGUGUUACUUGCGAGCUUACGCGGACUGCCCGACGUCGAGCACUGUGCGAACGGAGACGCCUCCGACACGCCGCCGCCAUCUUGCUACGUCAACGGCGCCCCACAGCGACGACGCCCCCGAGAACGCUCGACGGAUUUCACGGAAGUACCCGAAGGGUAACCGUCCUCCUCCACUCUCUAUCGUCGUUCUCCUAUAUACAUACCCGCCACUACUCUAUCGAGCUUUUCACUUCGAAACUCCUCUUCCAGACGUCGUCGAACGGUUUGUGCAAUCGUUCGGUUUGCUUUCUGCAAUCUCUAACGUUCUUACCGGCAUGUGGACAAAGCUUUUCCCGAUGAUUUCCUUCAGCUUCUGGUUAUUACUGCUCCGUCGAUUAUCCGAUGACCCGACUUCCGUUACGUUCCGUUCUGUUCUCGCGUACUGGCUAUAAAUUAUACGGAAUACCACUACCGUUGCCACGUUAGACCCAUUAAUGAUCCGAUCGUUAAUUUCAUUUCUAUUCUCGUUAUAGGUAGUCCACUAAAAUUUUCCAAUAAAGCCAAAACGCAGUCCCAAGAUUGUUGUAUAUACAUAUACCUAAAGUGAUCUAGCUCUCGUUUCAUAGUUUAUUCAAAAGUCACUUCGUGUAACUCGUAGACACACCUCUAUGUCGCGUGAGGCGUAACCACAUUAUUUACGAAAAUAAACCAUUCGAGAAUCACACGCGAUACAAACGAUUCCCUCUGGAUAUCAUAAUUGUAAAAACUUUUUCAAACGAAUUGACCUGUACAACGUUUUUUACAUGAGCGUUACGAAACAGUCCACAGUUAUUACUGUUUAAUACUGAUAGUUUCAGAUCACCUCUCGAUCCACAGAAUACUGUUCUACGUUGUAAGCCAUAAGACAAUGAUACCUCUAAAUUUAAAGUCGGACAGUAGCUAUAGAUAUAUUUUAACUUUGCACCAGCUGCUCGGUCUGCCCAGUCUCGACUCGUACUACUCAAUGUCCGUUAUGUUUGAUUCACUCUUGUACUCUACUACUCGUGUCAAACUGUAGCUACUCGCAUAGCUAUCGUCUACUGGGAACUAUAGUAGGAACAACAAAAUAAUUCUCGGUAGUUCCUAGUUCCUAUGAACGCUAUACUGAGGGAACAAUUCAUACAAAAAUAAGGUACGAGGAAUCGUUUAUGACGGUCUUUAUUGAUAUUCAAUUUGUGUGGCACUUCGUGGAUUUUCGUCAGUUACCCAGUGGCGUGAUGAGUCAUUCAUUUUAUUCAUCGGAAACUUCUCAGAACUUCAUUCGACCAAGUUCAAAUCACCGCUGAUUUAGCCACCUUCACUACAGUCGAACCGCGAAUUUCUCUUUAAUGGAAAGUUCCUCUCUUCUUGCAAGUCAUUCUUCGGCAAGGUUCUCAAGCUUUUUUAUUUUUGGUUAUGCCUGUAUCUUGACUGGGAACCUUCCACGAUAUAUUUGGAGCUUUAUUCAUUUUCACUGCCUGAGGAUCAACCUGAUCAUGCAUGUAAAUCACUGCUCGUACUCGUUACUCAUAUUACGUGUGAAUUGACUUCCGGUUAAUCGAGUGCCUCGUAAUUUCGCGUUAAGCAAAGGUAUUUCCGUAAUGGGAAACAACGAGGACUAAUGAGAAAAAAGAUAAGACUCGACAAGGCCGUAGGAGAGGUAAAACGUCAGUGGGAAUCCAGAGAUAAGUAAUGAGAGGGCUGAAUGAGAAAGAAGAAAAAUUUGAGGAGGAGACUCGAGAUUGAUGGGCUGCAUCGAGAGGAACAAACAACCAGAGGGCAACUGUUGCGCGGUUACUAAAAGUCUAAAAGUAUAUUUAUGCUUGUAAUAGGAAAGAUAUGAAUUUUAAAAAAAUAUCAAAAAUAUAUUUUCCAAAUUUUAUUUCAUUAUCUUUAAAACCAAAUUCAACAUUUCCUACAGCUUUGUCAGAUAUUUCAUUUGACUUUUUGAUUUGUCCACUGAGUUGCAGGUGCUACUAUCAAAUUUUUUUCCCAUCAGGAUUAUUUUCUAUGAUUCGUAAUUAAAUUGUGCCAUGUAAUUUUGAAAUAUUCAAUAAAGCCCUAAAGCUUCGAAAGCUCAUUUAGCCCGUUUGUUGUUUCAAUGUAUAUAUACAUACAUACCUCUUAGUAGAUAUCAAAACAUUAUUAGAAAACUUCGAUUAAACCUCAGAAAUUUGGUCGGCAUAAUUCCCACGCAAAUGUUUACUUCAAUAAGAUGUUUUUUCUGAUAUCAUCCCUAUGCACAACAUGGCACUAGGGCUCCCUCUUAAAUCAAAGAGAUCAAAUCUUUUAAGUUAUGAAAUCAUAAUGUUUACACUAUUCUUAUCCUUACGUCGCCAUGUGCUCAUGCGUAAAUAUUAAUUUAUUUAAUAAUAAAUAUAUAUAUAUAUAUUUACUUAACACAAACUUAGUGACUUUGAUAAUAAGACUGAAAAAGGAAAGCAAAUAGAAGCAAGGCAAUAAAAUGGAAUUACGCUAAAUUUCAUAUUCCAUUUUUCAGGACUUUGAAUAUGAUCUUCCUCGUUACAAAUACGCUUACCAUAUAGAGAUAUACAAUUGUAUACGGUUUUCAUAAGCACGUAAGUAAAGCUUCAGUGAACAUGAGCGUAGCCAUUGUUUGAGUUUUACAUUCUGUAUUCACUUCAGGCGUAUUGUUCAUACUUUAUGAAAGUCAGGCAUUGAGCUUUUUUUUUCUUUAUAUAUCUUCAAAUCAGCAUAUUUCUAGCACGAUAAAUGUCACACAAAAAGCGAAUCUACAAAAAGACAAUUUCAUGCCAACAUUUUAUCUGAUUAAUCCUCGCAUAGCAAAAAGUCAAUUAAAAAUCAUCUCCACUGAUGAAAUCUAAAAAUAACAAAUACUUACAUAGAUACGGUUAUAAUUCGAAUAUAUAGAUGUUACAUAAUAAACCUUUGAAAUAAUUUUUUUAGAACAAAAAAACUCAAAUGGCACAUCCAUUUUUCAUUUUGUCCUCAUUUCUGAGUUUAAAAAGCGUGUUUGUCUGUCUUGAAAGAAAAGUAUCUGCACAUUUGAGAGUUAAACCCGAAAUACAUUUUUUCCCACGUGACGCCAGGUUUUGAUAUUUACAUAUAAGUGCGAGAAAGAUAAAAAAAUGCAUAUACAGAUAUACCACGUACAAUGUAAAUAUCGCCAAGCUUGGCGUCGCGUGGAACCAGUGUGUUCCCGCCUUUAAGCAUAUACAUAUAUGGAUCAUAUGCCGAGCGAAGCAAAGUGUACGAGCAGUUGCAGCUGUAUUGAUCAGACAGGGCAGCCGUUCCAUAAAUGUAGGUACAGAGUGGUAAACGGGAUAUCAACCUCCAUUACAUAUUAAUUAUUAAUAGUACCUAAUAGUACUUUCAAUUUAUUUUUAAAAAUUGUUCUCCUUCAGAAUGGGACAAGCAUCCGCUUAAGGAAUAAGAUAUGUGGAAAUAAAAAUUUGAUAA